rnacentral:rRNA from 1 species
AGCGAACGCUGGCGGCAGGCUUAACACAUGCAAGUCGAGGGGAGCGGCAGACGGGUGAGUAACGCGUGGGAACGUACCUUUUGGUUCGGAACAACACAGGGAAACUUGUGCUAAUACCGGAUACCGAAAGAUCGGCCCGCGUCUGAUUAGCUAGUUGGUGAGGAAAUGGCUCACCAAGGCGACGAUCCGUAGCUGGUCUGAGAGGAUGAUCAGCUACAUUGGGACUGAGACACGGCCCAAACGCCUACGGGAGGCGGCAGUGGCGAAUAUUGCACAAUGAGGGCAACCUGGAUCCAGCCAUGCCGCGUGAGUGAUGAAGGGCCUAGGGUUGUAAAGCUCUUUUGUGCGGGAAGCGGUACCUCAAGAAUAAGCCCCGGCUAACUUCGUGCCAGCAGCCGCGGUAAUUC